rnacentral:lncRNA from 1 species
CAUAACCAAAGCUCUGGAUAUCAUAUCAAACAUACAGAAGGUGAAGUGAGACCAUAACAUAAUAUGGUACAUCCAUUUCUGAAUGACCACCAAACAUAAGUCUCCCACGUAUGGGAGGUAUCCCACGUUUGGGAGCUCCAUCCAUCCACGUCUGAGUGAAGUCAUAGGGGCCGGCAUAGCAUCACAGGCUCUAUGCAUAACUCCCUUCACCAUUUCUAGCAAAGGUUCAUAAUAUCCCACAAACACCAGAGUACAAAAGGAUAGUAUGAACAAUGAAU